CCUACGGGAGGCUGCAGUGGGGGAUAUUGCACAAUGGGGGAAACCCUGAUGCAGCGACGCCGCGUGUGGGAAGACGGUCCUCUGGAUUGUAAACCCUUGUCGCCAGGGACGAAGAUGACGGUACCUGGGGAGGAAGCUCCGGCUAACAACGUGCCAGCAGCCGCGGUAAUACGUAGGGAGCGAGGGUUGUCCGGAAUUACUGGGUGUAAAGGGAGCGUAGGCGGGACUGCAAGUCGGGGUUAAAAUCCACCGGCUCAACCGGUAGCCGCACUCAGAACUGCAGUUCUUGAGUGAAGUAGAGGCAGGCGGAAUUCCUAGUGUAGCGGUGAAAUGCGUAGAUAUUAGGAGGAACACCAGUGGCGAAGGCGGCCUGCUGGGCUUUUACUGACGCUGAGGCUCGAAAGUGUGGGGAGCAAACAGGAUUAGAUACCCUGGUAGUC
rnacentral:rRNA from 1 species